rnacentral:rRNA from 1 species
ACCUCGGAUCAGGUAGGAAUACCCGCUGAACUUAAGCAUAUCAAUAAGCGGAGGAAAAGAAACCAACAGGGAUUGCCCUAGUAACGGCGAGUGAAGCGGCAACAGCUCAAAUUUGAAAUCUGGCUUCGGCCCGAGUUGUAAUUUGCAGAGGAUGUUUCUGGCGCGGUGCCUUCCGAGUUCCCUGGAACGGGACGCCACAGAGGGUGAGAGCCCCGUAUGGUUGGACACCAAGCCUGUGUGAAACUCCUUCAACGAGUCGAGUAGUUUGGGGAAUGCUGCUCUAAAUGGGAGGUAAAUCUCUUCUAAAGCUAAAUACCGGCCAGAGACCGAUAGCGCACAAGUAGAGUGAUCGAAAGAUGAAAAGCACCUUGAAAAGGGGGUUAAAUAGUACGUGAAAUUGUUGAAAGGGAAGCACUUAUGACCAGACUUGGGCCGGGCGGCUCAUCAGGGGUUCUCCCCUGUGCACUCCGCCCGGCACAGGCCAGCAUCGGUUUUCGCGGGGGGAUAAGACCGUCAGGAACGUGGCACCCUCCGGGGUGUGUUAUAGCCUGGCGGACGAUACCCCCGNGG